ensembl:ncRNA C48A7.8 ncRNA
GAAGAAAUAGAAAGAAGCUCCUUCUUCUUCCUCUUCAGAUCGGACAAAAGAGGAGAAAGUGGGCGGAGCAUCCUGAUGCCAGUGGAUGCUCAUUUUCUAUUCAUGAAUGAAGUCCGUCUUUGUCGCCUUUCCGUUGAAAGAAAU